AAAAUUUCCGAAUGGGGUAACCCAAUCUUUUAAGAUUAUUUCCUUCGGGAAAGGCUAACCUGCUGAAUUGAAACAUCUUAGUAAGCAGAGGAAAAGAAAACAAUAGUGAUUCCCUAAGUAGUGGCGAGCGAACAGGGAACAGCCUAAACCAAUAAUGUUUCGGCAUUAUUGGGGUUGUAGGACUGCAAUAUAAAUUAUUUGAAUGAAAUGGAAGAUAGUUGGAAAACUACACCAUAGAAAGUGAUAGUCUUGUACAUAUAAAUUCUUAUAGUUUUAGCAGUAUCCUGAGUAGCACGGGAAAGGUGAAAUCUUGUGUGAAU
rnacentral:rRNA from 1 species